ensembl:lncRNA
GGGGGCGCUGUGUCCGUAUAUAUACUGAUAAGGGGGCGCUGUGUCGUUUGUAUAUAUACUGAUAAGGGGGCGCUGUGUCGUUUGUAUACUGAUAGGGGCGCUGUGUCGUUUGUAUAUAUACUGAUAGGGGGCGCUGUGUCGUUCGUAUAUAUACUGAUAGGGGGCGCUGUGUCGAAGUCACCGUACCGCCAUCUUGGCACUCCCUCACCAUUUGUAAAACAUCUAUUUUAAUUUAUUACAGACACCUGUAAGAGUGUAAAGUGACCCGGUGCAGAAAGCCUAGCGGUUAAGCGCGUUGAGCCAAUAACCGAAAGGUUGCUGGUUCGAAUCCUCGACCGGGCAAGGUGUAAAAAAAUAAAUAAAAUCUGCCGUUCUCCCUUUGAACAAGUCAGUUAACCCCCAACAACAACUGCUCCCCGGGUACCGAUGUCGUGGAUUAAGGCAGCCCCCCCCCCACCUCCCUGAUUCAGAGGGGUUGGGUUAAGUGCUGAAGACAGUUCAAUUCAAUGCAUUGUUGUGCAAUGUAUCCCCAACCAACUGACUAGGUAUCCCCAACCAACUGACUAGGUAUCCCCAACCAACUGACGAGGUAUCCCCAAGCAACUGACGAGGUAUCCCCAAGCAACUGACGAGGUAUCCCCAAGCAACUGACGAGGUAUCCCCCCAAGCAACUGACGAGGUAUCCCCAGGCAACUGACGAGGUAUCCCCCCAAGCAACUGACGAGGUAUCCCCAGGCAACUGACGAGGUAUCCCCCCAAGCAACUGACGAGGUAUCCCCUUUGUGUGACAGAGAGAAGUGUUUGCAGUGCUGCUGGUGGAAACGUCAUUUCGCCUAGUCAUCCUUUUAAAGCAGCCUUCAGGUACGGGUGUUAAUGGUGUCAGGGUAAAUGUAUAAUUUCAUUAAUUACUGGAAUUGAUUUGUACAUCUUACUGUAGAAAUUACCAGGCCUACUGUACAUC